CACUCCUACGGGAGGCAGCAGUGGGGAAUUUUGGACAAUGGGGGCAACCCUGAUCCAGCAAUGCCGCGUGAGUGAAGAAGGCCUUCGGGUUGUAAAGCUCUUUUGUCAGGGAAGAAACGGUAGUAGCGAAUAACUAUUACUAAUGACGGUACCUGAAGAAUAAGCACCGGCUAACUACGUGCCAGCAGCCGCGGUAAUACGUAGGGUGCAAGCGUUAAUCGGAAUUACUGGGCGUAAAGCGUGCGCAGGCGGUUGUGUAAGUCAGAUGUGAAAUCCCCGGGCUCAACCUGGGAAUUGCAUUUGAGACUGCACGGCUAGAGUGUGUCAGAGGGGGGUAGAAUUCCACGUGUAGCAGUGAAAUGCGUAGAUAUGUGGAGGAAUACCGAUGGCGAAGGCAGCCCCCUGGGAUAACACUGACGCUCAUGCACGAAAGCGUGGGGAGCAAACAGGAUUAGAAACCCCAGUAGUCC
rnacentral:rRNA from 1 species